ensembl:lncRNA
CAGAAUAGUUGGUUGAUUGGCUUCAAACCAAACAGUCCAAUAACUGAUGCAUUAAAUCUUUAUUGACUAAACAGCUUAAAAAUUAUUACUGCUAUUUCCUUUAUUUGUUGUUGUGAAUUUUACUCAGAAUUAAAGAUAAAUGAUUAUAUUAGUAAUUACAGGAAAACUAGUAAAAAUCUUAAAGACAUUGAAUGGGUUAAUGUACUGAGCAGCUAUGGAAUGCAAGGCACUGUGGGAGUGGGGUGAGUCUACUCCCCCCAAAGGCUCAGGGUCUGGCAGGGGAGGUGAGAUAAAAACCCAUAGCCAUACACUGGCUGGCCUGUUCUGAGGGUUGUGAGACAGGAUGCUAGGAGACCAGAGAAGAAAGAAAUGUCUCGACGUGAGGAGAAAUCAAGGAAAGCAUGGUUUUAGAAAAUGGGUGGGAUGGUUUUUGUACCGAGAGACUGAAGAGGCUUUUUAAAGUGGAGGGAAGGCAAACUGUGGCAUAAAGAUGCCAAUACCAGGUAUUAUCAGGAAGAACAGAGUCCAAUUUGGCUGGAGCAUAGGGCAUAUGUAGGGGAAGGGAGAGGACUGGCACGGGGGCAGAAGGGGACUUGAAUGUCAGGUGACAGUCAAAGCUUGCACUCUAAUAAGUAGGUGAUUGAUAGGUGAUCUUGGGGACUUUUGAGCAGGAAGAGUGGAUAAUAAAUCAAUACUGGCUUAGGACAAUCCCUUUGGCUUUGGCCAAAUUGUGACUCAGGUAAGGGACGGUUGGGGGAGACAAGGAUGGGAAGAUGCAUGAUAAAUGGGCCCUAUGCUUGGCAGGAAGGCAGUGCAAUAUUUUGUAGAAAUAGACUUAGCAGAGCAGGCGCCCAGCAUUCAGUGAGACCGCAGUUCAAACCCCAUACAGACUCUUAGCUGCUGUAUGACUUGAAGCUGUUAGUAACUCCCCUGAACCUGUCUCAUCUACAAAAUGGGCAUAGUAGCACCUAUGUCAUAGGGUUGCUUCAUGGCAGGUAAUUAUUCUUGUAAAGCAUUUAGCACAGCUCUGACGACACAUGGUGAAUGCUCAGUAAAUAUUAAUGUCACUAAUUCCAGUCAAUUCCAUUAACUGGAAUUAAUUAGUUGGAGUUAGGAAGGAAACAGGUGUCAGCUGGGUCGACUGAGGGAAGCAGAGAUCUCAGGAAGCAGUACAUGGUGGUUCGGUGGGAGCAUGGCAUCUGUGAGGGAGACUGUCUGCAGUGGGAUCCCACCUCUACUGCCGGCCAGCUGUGAUCUUCUACAGGCUACUUAACCCUUCUAGCUCAGCACAGUGUUACCAUGGAGCUGGUGUGAGAGUAAAGUGAGAUAAUUAAUGCAUGUUAAGUGUGUCGUAUGUGCCUGAUACAUUGUUAGUGCCCAGUAAAUGUUAGUCAUCAGGUGAGGGGUGUGAUGUGGGGUUGAAUAGAUUCGCCUCUUCCACUCACAGAGGCAGGAUGUGCAAGGAGGAGUGGAGACAUGCAGCAAGGGAUUGGGCAUGAAGGAUCAGGCCUGGGGAGAACACUUGGCCUGGAGAUAUUCAGGAGUCCCUGGCCCAGAGAUUACAAUUCUGCAGGGAGAUGAGCCACGAGUGGAGUAUUAGAUAUAGGCCUAAGGAAGCAAUCAGACACUUCCAGAAUAAAGGACAUUUGCUAAGACAGCUGGCCUGGUUGCUUCACAAAGUGUCAUCGGAAAAUAUGUCGGGAUUGUUCUAGACUAAAAGUGACUAGAGUUGAAACCAAAAGAAUGUAUGAACCUUGAUGGGACCUGGGGUUUUUUUGUUUUGUUUUGUUUUUUAAAGACAAACAUUCUGGAGACAAUUGUUGAAUACUGAUUAAGGGCUCUAUAUUAGAGGUUAUAAAGAAGUUACUGUUUAUAUUUUUAGGCAUGAUAAUCUUAUUGUAAUCACGUAGAACAAUGUCUUUGUUCUCAGGAAAUCUAUGUGGAAAUACUCAGGGGUGAAAUGUCAUUUUAUGUACACAUGCAUGGGGUGGGGAGAACAGUAAAUCUGGCAAAAUGUUAACUAUUCAAUCCAAGUGGAGAGUACGUAUCUGAGUAUUCAUUGUGCUAGCCUUUCAACUUUUUCUGGAUGUGUGGAAUUUUUCAAUAUAAAAAAA